AUGGACCACCCUGGCCACCCCCUAGCUACGCCACUGUCCUCCUCCUCCCCCGACUACGCCGCGGCAUUCAGAGCCGGGGCCUUCGGAGACGGGGUCACGGAGUCGAGCGCCGCCGCCGAACUCAGAGCCCGCGGCGGCAGGGCGCGGGCUACGUGGAGCGACCCCUUGGUGGCGGACACGAGGGAGGAGCCCAACGCGGCGGCGCAUCCGUCGUUCGACCACGGGAUGAUCGAUCGGCUGGUGCGAGAGCAAGCGGCCGUCGACGGGGCGAUCGGGCUACGGGAAGAGCCCGACGAGGCGGCGCCGUCGGUCGACCCCAAGCUGGUUGCGCAGUCGUUGCUCGAGCGGCUGGCGAGAGUGCAGGCGGCCGUCGACGAGGACAACAGGCGACGGGAACAGCAGUACGACUCGUUGCGCGCGGAAGAGGCGAUGUAUAGGAAGGAACAGGAGAAACUAUCACAAGUAAAGGUUGUGGUAAAGGUGAAACCCAAGCAAGGCAAACUAGGUAUAAACUGGACUCAGAUCAAGAACAAGAUUUUUCGUAGAGAAGGAAGGGAAAUAUGUUCGGAACAUGUGAACCACCAGACACAUCCCAUCACUGAAGUCAGAAGGCAUCAUAGGCUUGCUUCUGACGAGGCAAACCAUCUUGAUGCCUAUUCAGAAUAUAGAUCAGUGAUUGGAGAUGGGGAGUGUUUCUACAGGAGCUUCAUAUUUUCGUACCUUGAGCAAGUUAUUGAUAGGCAGGACACACAUGAGGAACAUCGUCUCCUUCGUGUUGUUGAAAGAAUGUCCAUGCAACAUGCAAAUCUUCGAUGGAACUCUGACUUUCGCAGGAGCAGCAAAGCAUUUAAGAAUCUGAUCAAGAAAAUAAUGAGACGGAAACAUGGCAGAGAAUCAACUAGCAGCCACCGUAAAGAGAAACUUCUCAAGUUCUUCAGCAAGGAUGAUACGACACUAGACAUUUUCAUUUUCCUCAGAUUAGUAGUAGCUAUCCAGAUGUGCUCGCACAGGGAGGUGUAUGAACCGCUUAUACCAGGGCUCAGAGGAAAUUACAAUCUGGAAGAUUGGUGCUUUUGGCGCGUCACUCCAGCUCGUCGGUUCACGGAUCAUGUUAUGAUGUUGGCCUUGGCAACAGCGCUUGAGGUACCCCUCAGAGUGGAGCGAGUCCGAGGAGGAUGUGAUCCAGAUAUCUACACUGGUCCUGGAGUUCCCCGUGCGAGAGUGACCCUGCUGUACUCGGCAAAUCACUACGAAAUCAUCUACCCACGUGCUCCUUCUGCUGAGAGUUCAAGUCAUCAGGCUUCCCAGAUAGAACAUGCUGCUGAUCAGGGUUCAAAUCAACAGACUUCCCAGAGAAAACAUCCUGCUGAUCAGAGUUCAAGUCAUCAGGCUUCCCAGAGAGACGAUCCUGCUGAUCAGAGUUGA
rnacentral:rRNA from 1 species